rnacentral:rRNA from 1 species
ACGGGUGAGUAACACGUGGGAACCUGCCUUUCGGUUCGGGAUAACGUUUGGAAACGAACGCUAACACCGGAUACGUCCUUCGGGAGAAAGUUUACGCCGAGAGAGGGGCCCGCGUCCGAUUAGGUAGUUGGUGAGGUAACGGCUCACCAAGCCGACGAUCGGUAGCUGGUCUGAGAGGAUGAUCAACCACACUGGGACUGAGACACGGCCCAGACUCCUACGGGAGGCAGCAGUGGGGAAUAUUGGACAAUGGGCGCAAGCCUGAUCCAGCAAUGCCGCGUGAGUGAUGAAGGCCUUAGGGUUGUAAAGCUCUUUCGCACGUGACGAUGAUGACGGUAACGUGAGAAGAAGCCCCGGCUAACUUCGUGCCAGCAGCCGCGGUAAUACGAAGGGGGCUAGCGUUGUUCGGAAUUACUGGGCGUAAAGGGCGCGUAGGCGGCCUUGUCAGUCAGAAGUGAAAGCCCCGGGCUCAACCUGGGAAUUGCUUUUGAUACUGCAAGGCUUGAGUUCCGGAGAGGAUGGUGGAAUUCCCAGU